CAAGGAAAGAUCAACUCUAAUAAACAAUCCCAUUUAGAGUGCACACAUUGUAUUUUUGACGCCAGGGGGCGCCAACGUGUUUGGCUAAAUCUGCGAAUGCAGUGCAACAUCCAGAUAAAGAAAGUUUGUUCUAAUUCUUCAAGCUGUUUAAAAUCUAAAGUUGAAACACAAAUAAAUCUUGUCUUUCACACCGAAAAUAAAUAACUAGCAAAACCCUGUAAUUAAAAUCACAAGUCAGUCUCUAAGCACCUAUUUUGCGCUCAUCAGCUUUACAACGACUUUCAACAGUGAGAAAGACCGAGAUUAGCAAUUCAGCCUCCAGUGUUAUUUGCUGAGAAAGCCCCGGAAGGUGUAUUAGACAGUCCCAGCUGCACUCUGGACUGCCCAGAGCUCAAGUGUGUAUCUUCAAUGAUAGUCAGGUCGCUUCAUCUAUAUAAAACACUUGCGCAACUUAAUUAGAACGUCUUCUGAGCUCGUCAUCUCUCUGGUGUGUUCUUAAACCACACGAAUGCAACUUUAAUUAAAAAUAAGUAGGCCACGAUUAAUUUAAGAAAUCUUAACAAUGAUAUUGUAUGGGACCAUAAAGGGAUUAGAGAGUGUAGAACGAGAAAAGAGUUUAUACUAUGUGCUAAUUAAGUUUACCAUCCCACUAAUGGCAUAUUCACGGAAGCAUACCCACGCUGGAUGCUAUUUGGCUGUCUCCUGAACCCUAGAUCUGGUCCAAUGAAGAACCAAACCCAUCUACAUCUUGGAUGAACUGAAGACUGCUGGUCUACAUUACUCUUGAUGGCUUGUUUUCCUCCUUUGAUGUUGCAGCGCUCUUAAAAGUCUGUCCGAAGCUGUAAGGGGAACGAAGCACUUCAUAUCGAUGUACUGCUGUAGUCCUCAUACACUCUGCUUGCGAUCCAUAUUCCAUUGAUUCUCUAUGACUCUUCACACUUGUUAGAUGCUCGUGAAUUGCAGGCCCUCUGCAGUAAAAGACUCUGUUCUGUUCGUCUCUCCAGUGAAUUGAAAUUCUAUCUGUGUGUAACAUGUCUGUAUACUUCAUAGGCUUAAUAUUUAAGGGAGAGCCGGCAUCAAAGAAUACACAACUGCUGCAUUUUACAACAGUGUUGGUCGCUGUUGUGCGCAGUUUAUUCCAUCGUUAGUUUUUAUAUAAAGGGUUCAGAGAUAUUUUUCGUCAUGCUUUACUCCCACUGAGGCUUUGGCUUCCAGCUGCCAAGUCGAAUGAAUGCUCCUGAUUGAGAAAUGGUUGAUCCGGUUAUAAUAGCAACCUGGGAUCCUGGGUGUUUACACUCUGCCUGUGAGACAUACCGUAAGGAAUGAGUACAGGAUUCCUGACUGGAGCCCGUCAGGACUGUGCUGGGGUGAUUGUGAUCCAUGAAGAGCAAGGGCUGAAUGUAGUGAAGUGAAGUGUUUCAUUCCAAACACUUUCUUGGGUCGAUGACUCUGGAAGCUUGUUUUUACCAAUGGGAUAAAACAAGUCAAUAAAUAAAAAAAGUUAACUUUAGUUUACUAAGUCGAAAUACAGACUUUUUUCUCACAGUUCUCAGAAUUGCUUCCAUUUUAUUUUAUUUUAUUUUAUUUUACAUGUUUCUGCAUGUUCGUUGGACCACUUUUUCUAAGAUUUUUUUUUUUUUACCUAUAGUGAAAUCCAGUAUUUUGAUAAACCCUUUCAGUAUU